UACGGGGGGUGCGAGCGUUGUCCGGAAUCACUGGGCGUAAAGGGCGCGUAGGUGGCCUGAUAAGGGUGUGGUGAAAGUCCGGGGCUCAACCCCGGAUCUGCCGUGCCGACUGUUGGGGCUGGAGUACUGUAGGGGCAGGCGGAAUUCCGGGUGUAGCGGUGGAAUGCGUAGAGAUCCGGAGGAAGACCGGUGGCGAAGGCGGCCUGCUGGGCAGUUACUGACACUGAGGCGCGACAGCGUGGGGAGCAAACAGG
rnacentral:rRNA from 1 species